ensembl:ncRNA lncRNA:CR44501 long non-coding RNA:CR44501
GCUGUGGAUGGGUUCCAUUUGAAUCGGACAAUGAGGAGCGUAUUCCAAGCUUAUGGUCAGUAGAAACACAGAGACAUGCGAAAAAUAUGACCUGAGCCAAGCAUACUAGCAAAUCGUAACAUAAUCACUCCAGUCAAGACCAAUCAGUGACCUAUGACCCUUUGAAAGGCCAGGCGAAACCGAGCUGCAUUAUUAAGUACUCAAGCCACAUAAAUGUUUAUCCCUUUCAUUGUUCAAUAUCAGCCGGAGCGGAAGUAAAAGUGUUGGACUGUAAUUCUUUCGUCCUGUUUUUCCAUCAAUCAAUUAGUCGAAAUGAAUUGAGUUAUCGGCUAAUAGGGCAGCCAACCCAACGUACACGUUGCCAUCAUUAAUAACGCUCAAAGUGACGCCAAGUAGUUCCGAAUCCGAUUCCCCCCGAUUUUCACCCACCCGGGAAUCUGACUGGGGAGUCCCAUUCCGGCGUGGCCGAUCGCCGUGGAUUGAACAGAUCAAUUACCCGCUGACUGCUUGGCUGCUUGCCCGAUGCUCCAAUGCUUUUAUGCGGCAAUGCCAAUGUGUUUCCUUGCUUCGAUGAUAAAGUGCACGGAGAAAAAUCAGUGGCACAUUUCGAAGUAUUCGGCAUUUAGAUGCCAACAAGAUAUAAUAUAUUUAAACAGUUUUAAGAUUAUCAAACAUUAUUCGUAAUUAUCUGUACAUAUAUGUACAAAACUGUUAAGUCAGUAAACGAAAACAGUUUAAGUGUUGAACCUGAGUUUUCUUUCAGUGUGUGCCGCAUAAUCAGGAACACAUAAUUUUAUGUGUUUUCACCUCCUGUUCGUACUUAUUUUUUUUUCUUCUUUUGGAUAAAUCACGGAGGGUCCAACGGCUGAGGCAGAAACAUCGGCAGCACGCCAGCAAUAAUCUAUCACCUGUCAGCACCUGUCAUUCAAGCGUCGCAGCUGCGAUUGGCAGGCCCAACAUGCACCUACUGGAAGUCGGAAGGGGAAUCGCCAAGAGAUUGGUACAUAAGCUGGCGGACUGGAAACUGGGAACCGAGGAUGGAGGACGGAGAAUGUUGAUGGAAGAGCCAGAGAAACGAGCCGAGUUUGCCUCAAGUGUCAGUUUGACAUCAUUAAUCAUGCGAUUAGUUAAGUGGGUGUUCGCUCAUACGAUUUUGGCCGUGGACCGGCGUUUUUGGUGCGAUCUGCCGCCUGAAAUCAGUUCCGAGCUGUUUAAUUUGACGUUUGGACGCAUGAUUGCAUUCUCAAUUUGACAUCGACGGCGACAGCAACGACAACGAAGAUCGACGGAAGUUGAAGGCUUCCUCUGCCGUCGAUGUCAAAAUAAUCACACGUACAAUUAGCAUGACGACAUGCCCAUCAAUUUGUUUGCCCUGGACGAUUGCCAGGUAAACGAAUUGAUUGGUUUGCUAGGUAAAUUGGGCGUAAACGAUGGGAAAUCAGGAAGUUAAGAGAUUCUCAAUGAAAGGAAAAACUUAAAUAAAUGGGUAUUGCAACCUGUUUUCAAAAUCUAUAUUUUAUAAUAACAGAUUUGGAUUAAGUAUUGACAAUUAAAUUUUUUUUUUCUGCAAGACAGGUAUCGUAACUUAUACUAUUUUGUUCUUCUAGUGAUACCAAAUAAACUCAAUUUUAAAGAGCUGGCUGAAAUUCCUUCCCUUUGGAACACUUAACCCCAACUGACCCCCAUCAAUCCGUACCUCAACUCAACUGCCGGCGAAAGCGACUGCAAACUGACAGCAUUCGGUGGCCGUGUGCCCAUCAAUUUUGCGCAUCAUCAUCGGCAUCAGCAGGCGCGUCUAACGUGUGGACCACCAGCCAAGCCCAUGCAACACCUACAACGACACCUCAUAGACCAUCGAAGCAUCGCAGCAUCGAAGCAACGCAACAGAUAGCACGAAAGCAAAAAAUGCAUUGAAGCACGGCGGCACACUGAAACAAACUAUUUAUAAGUACUGUAUAGUGAGAAUAGAAAAGGAUUCUGCUACAUUUAAUUUUCUGAAUAUUAUUU